rnacentral:tRNA from 1 species
UCCAGGGUAGCCUAGUGUACAUGGCAUCUGCCCAGUAAACGGAACACUGUGGGUUCGAUUCCCAUCCCUGGAC